rnacentral:tRNA from 1 species
UAUGAGGUGGUCGAAAUAAUUUUAGUCGGUAGAUUGUAAAUCUAUUUAUAAGUAGUAACUUUCUCAUGG